AUUGUUGUGGAGUAUGUCACUAAUAUGGUGCAUAAAGCUCAAGAUACUGCUACUAAAAGAGGAAAACUUCUCAUAGAAGAUUUUAUGUUUUUAAUCCGAAAGGUUGUAGAAAAAAUUCGAAUAGAUGAGCGUGUCUCCAUAAUAGAUAAGACAAAUUUAAGAUAUCUUCCCGGGCUUCCAAAAAAGUUGAUUUGAUGAUUUUGGACCUUUCUUUUAUCUGAAUACAUUCUGACAUAAUGACGACAAUAUACAUAUGGAAGAAAAAGGUUCCACAAGUUCUUACCCAUUGAUUGACAAUAUUGAUAAUAACGUGGAGGAGCAAAUAUCAUGGAGACCUAUUUUCAUUCUUGAUUUUAGUGAUAUUUCUUUAAGUGUGUGCCUUAUUUUA